rnacentral:lncRNA from 1 species
CACGCUCUCUCUCUUCUCACUCACUCGACAUCUCUCUUUCUCUCUUCUUCUCCAAACCCAUUUUCCUCUUCUUCUGAUACAGCACCAUGAAUCAUCACCCUCACCAUGUUUCCCUCCUUCCUCUCACGCCAGCAACCACCGCGUGCCAGCCGCCACCACCGCUCCCUCCUCACGCGAGCCAGAGCACCACCACCUUCUCCCUCACGAANN